UACGUAGGUGGCAAGCGUUGUCCGGAUUUACUGGGCGUAAAGAGCGCGCAGGCGGUCGUUCAAGUCGCGUGUGAAAGCCCCCGGCUCAACUGGGGAGGGUCACUCGAUACUGAUCGACUCGAAGGCAGGAGAGGGAAGUGGAAUUCCCGGUGUAGCGGUGAAAUGUGUAGAUAUCGGGAGGAACACCUGAGGCGAAGGCGGGCUACUGGGCCGAUACUGACGCUGAGGCGCGAAAGCCAGGGGAGCAAACGGG
rnacentral:rRNA from 1 species